rnacentral:lncRNA from 1 species
UGGCGCUGAAAGCUCCCUAGAGAGCGCCUUGCAAAGCAGCACGUUACCACUUUUUAACGGGAAAAAUAAAAGGAAAACCCGUCGUUGUUCAGGAAGCGCCGCCGGACAUCAGCUCCGUUUUAGGGUGUGGAGACAAAGGCGGCUCAGUGCUGCCCUCCGCUGGUGCGCUCCGAGCGCUGCAGCCCGAGGAGCGGCGCCGCGGCGGGGAAGCGACUCCGCCGCUCGUUGCUGCCCCCCUGUGGUGCCAUCGGGGCAUUGCCGCAGCGGCGGAAGGAGGAGACAAAGCCGGGCUCAGAGCCCCCCUCCUCCAAGCAGGCACCCGGGCAGGCACCUCGCAGAGGUGAAUGUGGUGAUUGGCUGCGAGGGUUGUGCGGCUCCGUCUCUAUUUCGCUCUGAUCGGUUUGUGCGGAGAGAGGAACGCGCCCUCCUGGGCCACAUUCUGAUUGGCUAUUGUGCAGUAUUGACGGGGGAGCAUAGCUGUGCCUGCCGAUUGGUUCAACUCCGAUCCCCCGCGGCGCUCUUCAGCCGACCGGCGGGGCGCGGAAAAGGGAGUGCCGGGCCGGCAAGGGAGGAGCUGGAGAGACUGGGACGGCCCCCAUCACCCGAAGGCCGCAUGUCGCGUUCCCGGCCCGCCGCUGUCUCUUUUCUAAGGUAUAGGAAAGCCCGUGGCUGUUUGGAAAACACUGCAGGCCUCGCUUCAGCCCAGUCCUAGUGCGGCCUUGGGAUCCGUGGUGUGAAAUGUGGAGAGCAGGGGACUGACGCGACAGUCUUCGUCGCUGUGUACGUUGAAGAACUUGGACCGAGACAGAGCAGUGUGGAAAAACGAUGUCUCUGGGCGCCUAGAUCUGAACGGCGUGUGCGCGCAGAACACGUGCCAUAAUAAACAGCGUGAACCUAGUGCUAGAGCUCCGUCUCCGCGUGUGACACAAGGGAACCGCUGGAGCUCUCCAAGCACCACGACGCCUGCUUCUCAAUGCAUAUUUAUGUGGGCGGGGAACAGCUCCGUAAGUCACGUGUCAUGCCGGCCUCUCUGGGAUAUUAAACGAAACCCCUCCGAGCUGCCCUCCUGUGCCUGGCCCCGCGCAUCGCAGCCAGGGGAGCAGGGCGGGUACGAGGGACAGCGGCUCGGUGCCUUCAGCGCAUGUUUCUCGCGGGGCGUCGCGGCCCGGGGAUCCGGGCACGUCACCCGGCCCAGGGCCGCGGUCCGGAGCGUCGCCUGGGGCCCGGCAGCCAGGCAACAGCCAGAGAAACCAGACCGGGCUCUGCUGCCGUCCCGUGGCGCGCACCGGGCGUUGCAGCCGGGAGACACGGGCAGGACCCGAGACAAGCGGCUCCGGCCGCGCCCCUGCAGCUCGGGCAGGCGGGAGAUCCCGGCAGGGAGGCAAGAACAAAGACGCCGCUCGCUCGCUCGGGGAGAAAAUGACCUGAAAACCCGUUGUUGUUGGAUAAGAACUGCGAGACGUCACGUGAGUUCUAGCGCACAGCGCCGGAUCCGUGGCCUCGAGUAAGUAACGUUUUGAGAACGGGUUGGACGCGACGGUUUUAUUAAUUGCCUGUUUACUUUGAAGAACUUGAAACUGUACCGGGUCUGGGGUAUAUACACUAAGGGGAAAGUGUGUGUGUGUGUGUGUUUGGGUGGAAUACAUAGUAACCACAGUGACCCUGCUACUCUUUCUAGCAAAGGGGACAUCAAUGUAACUCUUUACCUAGCAUUAUGUUUGCUUCUCUGGACAGAUUAAUGUCUUUAGUUUUACAUACGUAAUAGGUAUGUUGUGCACCCAUACAGAGUAUUAAAAUACUUCUUUGAAUCCCGCCCCUGGAAAAGUUCGGUGUUGCCCUUCUGUCCUUCAAGCUGGAUAAAGGCGGAGAAGCGGAGUGGGGGAAAACCCCCACUAAGUGCUACCCUAUGCUUCAGCCCUCGUACCCAGUGGUGCCCCUCACUCCUGACUCUCAGCCCCCGCUUGUACCCAGCAGAGACCAGCGCUACCCCAGUCCUGGACUCAUCCUGCACAAAGACGCCACUUCUGUCAAUGCCCCCCAGUCCCAACCCUCAGCUUCUUGUGACCUGUGGCCAGGACCGCUCUCCCCUUGAAAGAGACCUCAGUCCUGACCUACAGCCCUGCACUGUUCCCUCUCCCUCUCCCCAGUCCCUCCCGCAGCCCCUGUUCUGCCCAGUUCCCAGCCCCACAAGAGCAAG